AAAAGAAAUUAAGGGUUGUAGGGGGAUGCCUUGGCAUCAACAGGCGAUGAAGGACGUGUAAACCUGCGAUAAUCCUCGGCGAGCUGGAAGUAGCUUUGACCCGGGGGAUUCCGAAUGGGGAAACCCAGCAAGAGUAAAGUCUUGUUAUCCUAAUCUGAAUAAAUAGGAUUAGGAAGCUAUACCUGCUGAAGUGAAACAUCUCAGUAAGCAGAGGAGUAGAAAUCAACCGAGAUUUCCUCAGUAGCGGCGAGCGAACGGGAAAUAGCCCAAACCGAGGGAUUUUCUUUCGGGGUUGUAGGACCGGCAUAAGGAUGUUGUUCUUCUUAGUUGAAUAACCUGGAAAGGUUAACGAGACACGGUGAUAGUCCGGUAGACGAAAAGAAGACAGCACAAGUUGGUAUCCUGAGUAGGGCCGAGCACGUGAAACUCGGUCUGAAUCUGGGGGGACCACCCUCCAAGGCUAAAUACUAGUUGAUGACCGAUAGUGGACCAGUACCGCGAGGGAAAGGUGAAAAGAACCCCGGAAGGGGAGUGAAAUAGAACCUGAAACCUGCAACCUAUAAGCGGUCAGAGGCCUAUCUUUCCUUAUGGAAAGACGGCUGAUGGCGUGCCUUUUGCAUGAUGAGCCAGCGAGUUACGUUGUGCGGCAAGGUUAAGGAGUAACGCUCCGGAGCCGAAGUGAAAGCGAGCAUGAAUAGUGCGUUUAGUCGUAUGGCGUAGACACGAAGCCGAGUGAUCUAUUUAUGACCAGGUUGAAGCAGGGGUAAUUUCCUGUGGAGGACCGAACCAGUAGCUGUUGAAAAAGCUUUGGAUGAGUUGUGAAUAGGGGUGAAAGGCCAAUCAAACUCGGGGAUAUCUUGUUCUCUCCGAAAUAACUUUAGGGUUAGCCUUGUGUAGUGCAAUCCGGGGGUAAAGCACUGAAUCCACGCGGGGGCGUACUAGCUUACCAAAGGGAAUCAAACUCUGAAUACCGGAUUUGUAGACCAGGAGAUAGACUGUGGGGGAUAAGCUUCAUAGUCGAGAGGGGAACAGCCCAGAUCGCCGACUAAGGCCCCAAAUUUUGUACUAAGUGGGUAAGGAAGUGGAGUUUCAGAGACAGUUGGGAUGUUGGCUUAGAAGCAGCCAUCAUUUAAAGAGUGCGUAGCAGCUCACCAAUCGAGAGACUCUGCGCUGAUAAUAUGCGGGACUAAAGUACAAAGCCGAAGUCGCGGGCCCUUUUCUAAGAAAAGGGCGGUAGGAGAGCGUAGUCUGUGCGCUGAAGGUGUACUGAAAGGAGCACUGGAGCGCAGACUAGUGAGAAUGCAUGGCAUGAGUAAGCGAUAAAGAGGGUGAGAAUCCCUCUCGCCGUAAGCCCAAGGUUUCCAGGGUAAAGCUCGUCUUCCCUGGGUUAGUCGGGUCCUAAGUCGAGGCGGAAAACGCGUAGACGAUGGGAAGCAGGUUAAAUAUUCCUGCACCACCUAAGAAGAUAGCGAUGGCAUGACGGAGUGAGUGAAGCACGCGAACGAUCGGAGGUUGUUCGUGGGGUAGUGGGCAUGCUUGGUAGGUAAAUCCGCCAAGCGCGAAUUGCUGGCUACUCCCAAGGGGAAAGAAAUGGAACCGAAGGUGUGGAAGGAGCUUCCAGGAAAUAGUGUCUAGCUUUUGAUGGUGUCCGUACCGCAAACCGACACAGGUGGGCGUGAAGAAUAUUCUCAGGCGCGCGAGAGAACCCUCGUUAAGGAACUCGGCAAAUUGCCUCCGUAACUUCGGGAGAAGGAGGGCUUUUUCUGGUGAUGGAAGAAACAUCCUGAGCUGGGGGAAGUCGCAGAGAAAUGGCCCAGGCGACUGUUUAACAAAAACACAGGACUAUGCAAAGUCGUGAAGACUAGGUAUAUGGUCUGAUGCCUGCCCAAUGCCGAAAGGUCAAAGAGAGAUGUUAGCUGCAAGGCGAAGCAUUGAACCCAAGCCCCGGUGAAUGGCGGCCGUAACUAUAACGGUCCUAAGGUAGCAAAAUCCCUUGUCGGGUAAGUUCCGACGCGCACGAAUGGUAUAACGAUCUGGGCACUGUCUCAACGAGGGACUCGGUGAAAUUGUAGUAGCGGUGAAGAUGCCGUUUACCCGCCAUAGGACGGAAAGACCCCAUGAACCUUUACUGUACUCUGGUAUGGUGUUUUGAUAGAUCAUGUGUAGGAUAGCCAGGAGGCUUUGAACUGCCCUCGUUAGGGGGCAGGGAGCCAACGUUGAAAUACUGGUCUUGGUCUGUUGGGACUCUAACCCUCCUCAGUGAAUCCUGAGAGGGGACAGUGCCAGACGGGCAGUUUUACUGGGGCGGUAUCCUCCUAAAAAGUAACGGAGGAGUCCAAAGCUGACCUCAUCGCGGUUGGUCAUCGCGAGAAGAGCGCAAAGGUAUAAGGUCAGUUGACUGCGAGACAGGCAUGUCGAGCAGAUGUGAAAGCAGGGCUUAGUGAUCCGGCGAUCGAAUGUGGAAUCGUCGUCGCUCAACGGAUAAAAGGUACUCUGGGGAUAACAGGCUUAUCGUUGCUGAGAGUCCAUAUCGACGCAGCGGCCUGGCACCUCUAUGUCGGCUCAUCGCAUCCUGGGGCUGGAGAAGGUCCCAAGGGUUUGGCUGUUCGCCAAUUAAAGCGGUACGUGAGCUGGGUUCAAAACGUCGUGAGACAGUUUGGUCCCUAUCCUUGGUGGGCGUUGGAUACUUGAGAAGAGCUGCUCCUAGUACGAGAGGACCGGAGUGGACGAACCAAUGGUUUAUCGGUUGUACUGCCAAGUGCAUUGCCGAGUAGCUACGUUCGGAAAGGAUAAGCGUUGAAAGCAUCUAAACGCCAAGCCUCCUUCAAGAUUAGGUAUCCCUAUAGGCUCCUUGUAGAUCACAAGGUUGAUAGGUUGGGUGUGUAAGCACAGUGAUGUGUUGAGCUGACCAAUACUAAUAGGCCGAUAGACUUAUUUCG
rnacentral:rRNA from 1 species